rnacentral:rRNA from 1 species
CAAUAGCGUAUAUUAAAGUUGUUGCAGUUAAAAAGCUCGUAGUUGAAUUUUUGCUUGCCGCCGAUGUCGGAACUUCCGUACGUUCGGCGGCGUGCAUCCUUGGGUGGAACCUGUGUGGCAUUAGGUUGUCGUGCAGGGGAUGCUCAUCGUUUACUGUGAAAAAAUUAGAGUGUUCAAAGCAGGCUUACGCCGUCGAAUAUAUUAGCAUGGAAUAAUAAGAUAGGACCUUGGUACUAUUUUGUUGGUUUGCGCACCGAGGUAAUGAUUAACAGGGACAGUUGGGGGUAUUCGUAUUCCAUUGUCAGAGGUGAAAUUCUUGGAUUUCUGGAAGACGAACUACUGCGAAAGCAUUUACCAAGGAUGUUUUCAUUAA